rnacentral:misc_RNA from 1 species
GUGAGUCAUCGAAUCUUUGAACGCACCUUGCGCUCCCUGGUAUUCCGGGGAGCACGCCUGUUCGAGUGUCGUGAAAUUUCUCAAGCUUGGGAUGGCUUUUUUUCAAAAAGUCCGUCCUUAGCCUUGGCUGUUGGGCUUUGCCGUGUCGACACCUUCAUUGGGACGGCUGGCCUUAAAAGCAUUAGCUGAUCCACGUGUGGCACUGGUUCUACUCAGCGUGAUAAUAGUCUGAUCGCUGAGGACAUCUUCUUUUCGGGGUGGCCAGUUCUCAUUUGGGUUGCUUCUAAUCCGGUUUCGCAGAUUCUUCAAUCUGUGUUCCACUUUUCAGCUUUGACCUCGAAUCAGGUGGGACUACCCGCUGAACUUAAGCAUAUCAAUAAGCGGAGGA